AGAGUUUGAUCUUGGCUCAGGACGAACGCUGGCGGCGUGCCUAAUACAUGCAAGUCGAGCGAACUUGCCUAGAUGAUUUUAGUGCUUGCACUAAAUGAAACUAGAUACAAGCGAGCGGCGGACGGGUGAGUAACACGUGGGUAACCUGCCCAAGAGACUGGGAUAACACCUGGAAACAGAUGCUAAUACCGGAUAACAACACUAGACGCAUGUCUAGAGUUUGAAAGAUGGUUCUGCUAUCACUCUUGGAUGGACCUGCGGUGCAUUAGCUAGUUGGUAAGGUAACGGCUUACCAAGGCAAUGAUGCAUAGCCGAGUUGAGAGACUGAUCGGCCACAUUGGGACUGAGACACGGCCCAAACUCCUACGGGAGGCAGCAGUAGGGAAUCUUCCACAAUGGACGAAAGUCUGAUGGAGCAACGCCGCGUGAGUGAAGAAGGGUUUCGGCUCGUAAAGCUCUGUUGGUAGUGAAGAAAGAUAGAGGUAGUAACUGGCCUUUAUUUGACGGUAAUUACUUAGAAAGUCACGGCUAACUACGUGCCAGCAGCCGCGGUAAUACGUAGGUGGCAAGCGUUGUCCGGAUUUAUUGGGCGUAAAGCGAGUGCAGGCGGUUCAAUAAGUCUGAUGUGAAAGCCUUCGGCUCAACCGGAGAAUUGCAUCAGAAACUGUUGAACUUGAGUGCAGAAGAGGAGAGUGGAACUCCAUGUGUAGCGGUGGAAUGCGUAGAUAUAUGGAAGAACACCAGUGGCGAAGGCGGCUCUCUGGUCUGCAACUGACGCUGAGGCUCGAAAGCAUGGGUAGCAAACAGGAUUAGAUA
rnacentral:rRNA from 1 species